UACAGGGGGUGCAAACGUUGCUCGGAAUCAUUGGGCGUAAAGCGCACGUAGGCGGUUCGUUAUGUCGGAUGUGAAAGCCCUUGGCUUAACCGAGGAAGUGCAUCCGAAACUGGCGAGCUAGAGUACGAAAGAGGAUCGCGGAAUUCCCGGUGUAGAGGUGAAAUUCGUAGAUAUCGGGAGGAACACCGGUGGCGAAGGCGGCUUUCUGGUCUGUAACUGACGCUGAGGCGCGAAAGCGUGGGGAGCAAACAGG
rnacentral:rRNA from 1 species